GUUUUGGCUUAGUAAAAACAACAUUUUUCUCAUUUUUCAUUAGAAUAUAGAGUAAAUAAUUUAAUAUUUUAUCUUUUGUUAAUCUGUUUCGUGCGUAAUCAAAGAAGGUUGAAAGGUUUCAGUACUUUUAAGUCUGUUCAAGGAAAAAACCGUGGGUAUUGGGAAGUCGAGGAAGACAUCCAGUAAAGGCUGCAGAAAGCCAAGAAACUCGAGUAACCCGAAAGGCAGGAACUGGACCAAUGGUUGUGAAUGACGAGGGCAAGGACAUCAAUCCUCAUAUCCCAUAGUACAUCCCCAUAUCGUACUAUUGCUCAGCUGGUCUACGCUCAGUCACAUAUCAGCUCCCGUAGAAGGAAAAAGAGACACUGUACACAUAGAUCGAUGGUACAAUAGGGGACAGCAAAGUGGUCACAAAGUACCGAAAGAGAGUAACUGACUCAUUAAAAGGAUUGUAUGGUGCAUCCGAAGAAGAACUGAGGAAAGUUCAUUGUAGCCAAAAUUGCUCACUAUUACUUCAUUGAUUACGAUGGGAAGCAUGACAGAUGGAAUUGAUACAAUCCAGCGUAUAGCACAGAGAAAUUGAGAAAGUAUCAGGAGAUGAAGACUGCCUAUGAAGCCCUGAAAGCAGCCAAGCUCAAAGACAAUCUCGAUGCUGAGCUAGAUGAUGCGGAGGAUGAGGGCAGAUUAUAUAUAUUUUAUGAUGUGGUUAUGCCAGGCUCUAAAAUGGACACCAUAAGGAGAGAAUAACAGAGUCCGAACUAAUGUAAAAGAUUUUUUUAGCCUACUACGAUACCACAAAAUAUAUAAAAUAAAGAAUAUUUCUUUUAA